rnacentral:rRNA from 1 species
AAGUUCCGACCUGCACGAAUGGCGUAACGAUUUGGGCGCUGUCUCAACCAGGGACUCGGCGAAAUUGCAGUACGAGUAAAGAUGCUCGUUACCCGCGGAAGGACGGAAAGACCCUAGGACCUUUACU